AAAAAAAAAAAAAGCAACUAUAGCAGGAUUUGAUUCUCCCCAAAAAGUUCUGGUGAUUUCACUUAUGUUUAGAGCAUUAUUCGGAGUUCCCGUCGUGGCGCAGUGAUUAACGAAUCCGACUAGGAACCAUGAGGUUUCGGGGUUCGGUCCCUGCCCUUACUCAGUGGGUUAACGAUCUGGCGUUGCCGUGAGCUGUGGUGUAGGUUGCAGAUGGGGCUUGGAUCCUGCGUUGCUGUGGCUCUGGCAUAGGCCGGUGGCUACAGCUCCGAUUCAACCCCUAGCCUGGGAACCUCCAUAUCAGAGGGGCUUAAAGAGCAAUUUGGUUGCAAGUCAGGGAGAGUAAUCUGGUUGCAACCAGGAAGUAAUCUGGUUGCAGCUGAGUUUCCUCUGCAUCUUACAAAAUACUGAAAAAAAAAAAAAAGCCUCUGUCAUUUUAUCUGACCUCUCUGAGAGAGAGCAGAGGUUAUAAUGUCUUCAAGGAACUCAUUUGUCUUCAAGACAUUACAAUGAACUUUGGUAAAACUAAGUUUAUUCUUUAAAUGGAUCCAAGGCCUACUCACAGUAUAAUCUGCCCCUUGAUACAUUCUUACAUGUAAAGUGAACAUUUCACCAAGAAUCUCCAGGUAUGGAUUCCUGAAUCUUGAAGAAGCCACUCCAAUGACUUAUCAGCCUUGCUGCCUUCUCUCUGCCCACAGUAGAUAUCAAUAAUGAACUACCAUGGCCUGCUUUCCCACAGAGCUUAGAUAUUUCCUUAGAAUCCUCAAUACAGCCCACCAGGUGACAACUUCCAACCUUCCCUGGGAUGCAAGUUGAAACAUAUUUGUCACUCACAGAUCCUACAUGUUCAAGCACUUUCUAACUCUUAAAAAAUAUGGGAAUGGCAGCUGUUUCAAAGAGUAAUCUGUGACCUGUAGGCAUUCAUUCUGAAUUCUCUCUGCACUUUGGAGGAUGAGUUGGUCUUAAUUGUUAUUAACUUUCAAAUGUCUUGCUGCACAUGGCUUUCAAACUCAGGCUUGGCUCAUGUGUGAGCUGCAGUCUGAGAUCGCAUGUGUAAUUACCUUCUAGAGGUAGUCAGAAACCAUGACUAGACACACAGACAGUGGCAUCAUCCACUCUGCUCAAACCCAACUCCACCAUAUCUGACUGAGUGACCUGGCAGAUCUCACACCUCAACUUCCUCAUCUGUCAAAUGGAAAUAAGAUCAUACCAACCCACUUGAUAACGUGAUUACGAGGAAACUUGGGUUGAUACUCCAAAAACACUUAGAAGAGUACCUGACAUGUUAAACAUUUAAUCAAUCUGAUUAAAAAAUAUUGGACCAAAGGAAUACCUCAAAGAUCAGUGUUUCACAGCUGGUGCAGAGAACAUUUAGCCAUAGAAAUAUAAAGGGUUGAGGUCCUUUAAAAAUGCAUGCUCCCCACAGUUUAGUUCAACAUUUACCAAAUACUUGCUUAUGUGAUGUCUGACACUGUUAUGACAAUGGAAAUACAAAGAUAAAUAAGGCACUUCUCCACCUUGAAGUAAAAAUCUUAACAACUAUGAAGCCCUAUAUUUUUUUCAAGGUAAUGAGAAAACACCCACCAUCAGCAUAAAAAAAUACAUUCAAUCUGGAUCUGAAUGCAUUCAAAAUCACUUUUCAGCAGAGUAGCAGGUCUCUCCCUUAAGCUCCAUCUAAGAUCUGAUUCCAAAAUAAGCAACAGCAAGGAGAAAAACUUAGACCAAUCUUGGUUUCAGAGAUGAAUCUGCUUCUUUGAUUCAGGAUCAAGUUUCUUUUCAUAACAACCUUGGAGCCCUCUCUCCCCAGACCUGCGGGUUGACUCACUAGACUCAUAAGAAAUAAAGGUAGCAAAGUGCAGGCUUUCAUAAAUUCAAAAUGUUUUCUCACUUUGCCUUGUAUUCUUACAAAUUAAUGAAUUUUUUAAAAAUUUAAAAUUAAAAAAAAAACAAACAAACACAAGACUGUCUUUUUCCAGCCUCCCUUUUCUAGAUUUGAUGUGCCCUGGGUGUCUGACAUCCUCAUUCCAUUCAUGAUUUCCAUUCUUUCUUGGAGAGUCAUUGCUUCAAAAUAUGUGUGGGUGUGCUUCUGGGAGCUCAAGACACUCUAUGUCCUCAUCUUAGAUGCAAAUUCGGUGGUGCAUUUGGGGCCCAGCUACUCCACUCUGUCAGCUGUGUGCCUUGCAGAACCCAGAGGUCAGGACAGUGGCUCAACACACUAGCAGAGUUAGCAUAGGCCAAUUCAAGCCUCUUACCAGUCUCUAAAAUGAGUAUAAUAAUACCCCAGAGAAUAAACAGAGUUAACUUGUGUGUACACAUUCGAUAAACUGAAAAUUUGCCAUUCAAAAAUAAAGACAUUAGUAGUAUUUCUCAGCUGCUCUGUAUAGUAUAAAAAAGCUACACUCACCUUAUUUACAACACAGGGUUUCUGUGUGGACAAUAAUGGUUGUAUACCUGUAGGAUGAUGAUAUGAUGACUAUUGCAAACCAGUUACCACUUCUGCCUGCCUCCUGAGAGAGCCUGCUAUGCCUCCACUUCCUUCUGGCCCAGGUGCUC
rnacentral:lncRNA from 1 species